rnacentral:rRNA from 1 species
CCUACGGGAGGCAGCAGUGGGGAAUAUUGCACAAUGGGGGGAACCCUGAUGCAGCGACGCCGCGUGAGUGAAGAAGUAUUUCGGUAUGUAAAGCUCUAUCAGCAGGGAAGAAGAUGACGGUACCUGACUAAGAAGCCCCGGCUAACUACGUGCCAGCAGCCGCGGUAAUACGUAGGGGGCAAGCGUUAUCCGGAUUUACUGGGUGUAAAGGGAGCGUAGACGGCAGGGCAAGUCUGGAGUGAAAGCCCGGGGCCCAACCCCGGGACUGCUUUGGAAACUGCCAUGCUAGAGUGCUGGAGAGGUAA